AGCUCGACCGGGUCGAUGGCGCGGGUGACCGUGAGGUAGUCGCGCAGCGCGAUGCCGUGCCGGUUCUC
rnacentral:sRNA from 1 species